AUUGAACGCGGCGGCAUGCUUUACACAUGCAAGUCGGACGGCAGCACAGAGAAGCUUGCUUCUUGGGUGGCGAGUGGCGAACGGGUGAGUAAUAUAUCGGAACGUACCGAGUAAUGGGGGAUAACUAAUCGAAAGAUUAGCUAAUACCGCAUAUUCUCUGAGGAGGAAAGCAGGGGACCUUCGGGCCUUGCGUUAUUCGAGCGGCCGAUAUCUGAUUAGCUAGUUGGUGGGGUAAAGGCCUACCAAGGCGACGAUCAGUAGCGGGUCUGAGAGGAUGAUCCGCCACACUGGGACUGAGACACGGCCCAGACUCCUACGGGAGGCAGCAGUGGGGAAUUUUGGACAAUGGGCGCAAGCCUGAUCCAGCCAUGCCGCGUGUCUGAAGAAGGCCUUCGGGUUGUAAAGGACUUUUGUCAGGGAAGAAAAGGUUGUUGCUAAUAUCGACAGCUGAUGACGGUACCUGAAGAUAAGCCCC
rnacentral:rRNA from 1 species